UCUGUUACCAUGGUGACCAGCAUUCCACCUUCUGCCCCUGAGUUGGCAAACAGGUUCUCUUGAUGCCCUGGCUAAGAACCAUCACCUCCAAAACAACAAACAGAAAGGCAAGCCAAGCACGGCCUUAAGACGUUGACUCAGGGAGUCACGAUGCCUGGGACGGAAUCCCAGAUCUGCCACGUGCUUACUGGGUGACCCAGAGCAAGCUACACAACCUCUGUGAUGCUUUUUGCUCUUACCUCUUCAAGGGGAUAAGAGUCUCAGGACUCUUGUGGGGAUUCACUGAGUCAAUGCAGGGUGUUUUUCCAAUCAACUCUCACGGAACACAAGACGAACCAUUAACCUUUCAACUACUGAACAGGCACCAGUGCUCGGCAUUUCACCUGACCCUGACACACUCCAGGAAGAGGAGCCCACAGCCCUCGGGAAGCUACAGUGCAAUAAGAGACAGAGAGCAAGGACCAGGCUGGAGGCCAACACUGGAGCUGCUGGACACCCUAAGGCCUCCAAAGAAGGGCCAUUGGAACAGACUCCCGAGUGACAGUACUGAGCCAGGCUGAGAAGAUGGGACAGCGUUCCAGGCCCAGGAGGCAAUGGACUCCAGCCAGAACUGCAGAACACGGCACGCGUUUUCACAUUUGUUUUAUAGGGUACCUUCCCUUCUGAAAAUGAUGCAUGUUUGUCAUUUAUGACUGGGAUAUAAAGAUGAGUUUAUAAACAUAGCUCUUUAAUGAAAAGAAAUAGGAACCCUUUUAAAGAAAAAUAUUAAGAGAAUAAUUUUACAGGUGGUAGAGGAAUGCACCAGAAAUUACAAGGUGCUUCUUGUGCUCAUGCGCUCUCUCUCUCUCUCUCUCUGUGUGUGUGUGUGUGUGUGUGUGUGUGUGUGUGUGUGAUACACACACACACACAGAGCCAGAGUAUGCCAGCCCCACUAGCCUCCUGUCUCCUUCAGCAUUCACCCUCUCCCCUCAUCUGUCCUUAGCCCAUACCCCUCCCCAUCCCCAAAGCCCUGUGACCUCAUCCUAGACAGGCCUUUUAUUGGUUCUCACCAAUAACAAUAGUAGCAAUAAGAAUGUCACCUUGCAUUUGCAUAUCCCUUUACAAUUCCAAAUGCUUUUAUAUGUACCAUCUCAUUUGCCGGAGGAAUAA